ACAGAAGCGAGUGGAGGUGUUUCAGAUCUCUCGGAUGAAAUGCUGUGAUAUUCUGUAAUUAAGUAGAGUUAAUUGAUAGAAAUCUAGAUUUAUUCGCACAGAGAUGCUGCAUGAAGAUUAGGAAUGAGAUUAAAAAGAGACUGAUUAGGCGGUUUUUUAUCUACGACGCCUCGUUAACAGUUGAUUGGAGUCCCACGUUUCUGGAUCUCCUUCAAUCCCCAGUGUCAACGGAGGAGGUAACCUUAGUGAGGACCGGUGAGACAGACGGAUUUCUUAACAAGUGCUACUGUGUGGUAUUCACGCUGCUGUUGCCGAAUUGGAUCGUAAGAAAAACCACACAUGUUCAAGAGUCAUAUAAAUCAGCAGCACAAUAAUUCAGCAACAUCCACUAGAGACUGAGGCUCGGAGGAUUCAUCGCACAACAAAGGACCUCAGACUGCAGCUCAAAGACCAGCUUAAUUUAAGUGUCCUGCUAUCUGAACUUCUAAAACGAGACCACUCCACCAGUAAGAGUAGAGUGUGAAGGUUUAAUUGGUGGAGUAAAAGCACAAUAUUGCUUAAAAUAUUCAGCAGCAUACACGGCAUUAUGGGUGACACAUCAGAGUUCACAAGAGGACAAAUCGUUGGUGCACGUCUCUCUGGUGCAUCUGUGACCAAGGCAGCAGAUCUUUGUGGUGUAUCAAGAGCCACAGUAUCCCGAGUAACGUCAGCAUACCUCCAAGAAGGACGAACCACAUCCAACAGGAGUAACUGUGGAAGCAAGAGGAAGCUGACUGAAAGGGAUGUCCGGGUGCUAACCCGGAUUGUAUCCAAAAACCAUAUAACCACAGCUGCCCAAUUCACAGCAGAAUUAAAUGUGCACCUCAAAUCUCCGGUUUCCACCAAAACUGUUCGUCGGGAGCUCCACAGGGUCAAUAUAUAUGGCCAGUUUCCUAUAGCCAAAUCUUUGGUUGACUCAUGCCAAUGCCAAACAUCUGUUUCAGUGGUGCCAGGAGAGAAAAUCUUGGGCUGUGGACAAUGCGAAACAUGUAUUGGUCAGGAUUCUGAUACAGAAAGUACUUGAAUCUCAGACUCCUUGAUUCCUGGAAGGCCUGGGAAGUACUUGAAAACAAAUUUGAAAUUAAACUCAUCUAUGACAGUAUUUUAAAAAUGGUACUGUGUUGCGGUCAACAACAGAAUGCAAGUCCUAGUGUGUGUGUGUGUGUGUGUAGGGGGAGAGUGGACAGAGUAGCAGUUAUAUUUUUGUUGCGCAGCCUAAUAGUUUAAUAACCCAGGAUUUCCACUGGACACGUGCGGCUACAUUAUGGCUUCGACACAGCCACAGGAGCUGAUCGCAGCCACAAUCAAUGCUUGUGUAAAACUGUCGUGUGACCUUUCACAGCAUUUAUGAUGUCAUUGAAAUGGUUAAAUGCAAUGAAGUUAAUCGAUCUCUAUAUUCAUGGGAUUUGAUAUGUAACAUCUUUUGAGAUGUAGCUAUUGGGGGUUUUCUUACAUUGAGAAUUAUGAUGAGGGGUCCACCUCUGUGAUAUCUUGUUCCUGGUCGUUUGCAACCAUCAAAACUGUGGUUUCAGGGUUUGAUGGGAACCGUGAGAAAUAGUGAUAAUAAAAUCAGUCAAUUUGAAUGUGUAAGGGAUCUGGGGUUCAUUCAGGAAUAAAAACAUGCUAGUCACUGACAAUGAGUUUUGUUUGAACCAGUAUAUAAUAGUUGGAUAGUAGUGUUAGAAGGAUACAGUUUUAGGUCAAGCAAAUACCAAAAUAUUUUAAACUUUAACUUGCAUGAUAAGACUUUUAUAAUAGUUGCAUUUAUAUUUUGUGUCUGUUUGAAUUUGAGUUUGAUUUUAAACCAACUAAUAAACUUUGUGAUGAAUAUUCAUCA